UGUAUUUACACACUGUUUAAUGCAGCUCAGAGGGACAUGAAUGCAAGAUGCAAAACAGAUGCAAAACAGUGCCGUGGCUGUGUUUGGAAUGAUUUUUGCUGGCGAAAUAGAGCAAAAGCAGUAAAUAUGGUGUCUAAAAAGUAAGUCUCUUAAUAUUAACUUCUUGUUUAUUGAACUGUCCCAGCAAACAAUGACCUGGCGGUCCACCAGCGGUUUUUGGGCAGCACAAAUUCAGCGGCUUAAUACGGUCGGACCACCAUCGGCACACCAUCGGCGAGCCGACCAAUCUAAAAACGUUUUGAUGGACGCGUGCUCCGAGUCGCAUUCAAACACUGCAGCGAGGGAGUUACCAUGGAAACGGGGCAGCAACUCUCCAACUGACAGCUGCAACACUGCGUCUCUCGCUGCUGUUUUCACCGUUUUCAGGAGUAACACUUCUACAACAGAAGAGAAGCUCCAAGAUAUCUAAAUUUCUGAAGGAAGCUGCUGACAGAGAUGUGGGAGACAUAGUUCAUCACAGGAGAGGAGUUCCAGGCAGGAGAAACAGACAGGUAGGCAUCAACCAGCGUUAUGGGAGCUUGCAACCUUGAGACCAGCCGAUGAGUGACUGAGGUGAGUGUGCUUAUGAAUGGUGGUGGUAAGUGGUUGCAGGUGUGCGUGAUUAGUACUCUGGUGAUUGUGAACGGGUGUAGGAGGCUGCUUCAGCUGGUGAUGCGGGUGAUUCCGUGACAGGUUUAGGGUUAGUAGAAUAAGUUGACGUAUACUUGUAAAGUUUCUCAUAGUCAGUAUGUUGUAUGUUGUGGACCCAUCAAAAUAAAGUGUUAGAAGUUAUUAAGCAGACAGUCUACUAAUACUCUAAUGACUGCUAGUUGACGUGUAGUUGCGAAGUUACUUACUGUUAGUAGAAUGUCUAAAGUGGACUAUCGAAAUAAAGUGUUACCAAAUAUUUAAGUUUAUUGCUUGUGCUUAGUUGACAAGACAUAUUAAGUCUGCACAAAUAUAAUAUUUAAAAAAUAUUAAAUGAAUGGGAAAAGA